CGUCUCCGGCGCCGGGUCCUGGC
rnacentral:miRNA from 1 species